CGCGGGCAGCACUCUGGGCGGCAGCUGAGCACAGCAGCAGUGUGUCUAGCUCCGGCCGGGCGGCACAGCAGCCAGAUAUGUGGCUCUGAGUGACAUGCUAAAUCCAGACUAACACGGCUACCCCUCUGAUACUUGUCACCAAUAUGAGUAAUCCUCAAACCGAAGAGUGACGGAAAGCUGUUUUAUGACAAACUGAGAUUCCCACCCCAUGGACCUCGCUAACUGACCUGCCUAACCUCUUCUAAGUACAGGAAGAUUAUCCUUCAGUAAAUGUUGUUUAAAUGGGCUACUUUUAUCUCCUGUGUACUAGGAUCCUUGACCCCAU